AACGAACGCUGGCGGCAGGCUUAACACAUGCAAGUCGAACGCCCCGCAAGGGGAGUGGCAGACGGGUGAGUAACACGUGGGAACGUGCCCAAAGGUACGGAACAACUCCGGGAAACUGGAGCUAAUACCGUAUGUGCCCGAAAGGGGAAAGAUUUAUCGCCUUUGGAUCGGCCCGCGUCUGAUUAGCUAGUUGGUGGGGUAAUGGCCCACCAAGGCGACGAUCAGUAGCUGGUCUGAGAGGAUGAUCAGCCACACUGGGACUGAGACACGGCCCAGACUCCUACGGGAGGCAGCAGUGGGGAAUAUUGGACAAUGGGCGCAAGCCUGAUCCAGCCAUGCCGCGUGAGUGAUGAAGGCCUUAGGGUUGUAAAGCUCUUUUGUCCGGGAAGAUAAUGACCGUACCGGAAGAAUAAGCUCCGGCUAACUUCGUG
rnacentral:rRNA from 1 species